GAGGUUCCCACCGCCAACGACAGGGAUUUGAAGCCCGAGGCUGCUCCCCGUUCCCACCCAAACCAGACGGCAGGUGUAAGGGCCGUGGUGGAGGCUGGUGAGGGUGCCACUUGCUUCUCCUUGACCUCGGGGAAGAUGAAGUCGUGAGUCAGGAGGGAGGCAGCUGGCCGGCUCCUGUGAUGUCAGAGCGGAUGGUCGUUGCCUUGGGGUUCGGUCUCACGCUCCGGAAGAACCUGGUUUCACGCAAUUCUGCUCAAGAGCCCUUUGGACAGAAGGUGAGAACCAUUGCUGCUGAGGGAACAACGUUCUCAUGCCAGUUGGCGAGGGCUGGCUGCUCCCAGAGGAAGACUGGUUGUAAUUAGAAGAGAAAGUUGCUUGUUGAACGGCCAACCAGAACUAAGGCAGGCGGAUGGUUUUAAGGGAAAAAUCCUAUUAAGUCAGGUCAGCCCAUAUCUUUAGAGUCAACAUGUUCAACUUUAGUGGUAAAUUCACCGUAAUUAUAUUAAAAAUGGGCUGCUUAACCUCUUUUAGCCUAUAAGUUGGACAUAAUUUUAUUUAGUUCACAGGGUUGUGAUGGGAAUUUAAUAAGAUAAUACGCUUGGUAAAUUCUCAAUAAAUAUUAACUCUAUUAAUGUAACUAAUAUCAAUAAUGGGUAUAAUUAAUGAUUAAUACUAUGUUAAUAACAGUAUGACAUCCUUCUGUACAUUAGGCAGGUGUGUAAUAGUUUGUCUGCUCACAAUGGGGAAACUGAGGCUCAGAGAGUCAAACGUUUUGCUCACGUUCACCUGAAUAGUCACCAUCCGGAUUUCAACAUAUGUCUUCUGAUUCUAAGCUCAGAGAGGUUCUUUCUACGGCACCACUCUGAACUUGAGACAAAGGAAUACUCAUAUGAACCAAUCAGAACAGUGGUUCCCUAACUUGGAAUCCUGGAUGCUUGUUAAGAAUCAACACUUCUCAGCCCCCUCCAGACUUGUUUGUAUACCUUUGUAACAGGAAUCCCAAGACAUGAGCUUUCAGUAGAACACUCCAACUGUGAAGGGUGCAGAUGUCAGCGUCAAGCCCUCUUUGAAGAAGCCCCUUGUUAAGGACUUUAGAUAUAAUCACCUAAUUAUCUUUCUUUUAAGGCUCCUUUGAAUAAGCCAUCAUCUCUGGGCAACGUAUUAGACUCUUGUAACCCGUCUCUUUCUGUGACACCUGGUUUCUAUGAAACCGUGACAGCUGCUUAGGCUGUGGGCACUUCGCACAAGUACCAGAGCUAAGUGAUUGCACUCUUGAUUGCUAAAGUGCUCUAACUCACUUCAAACCUCUGCUGGCUGCAUUUACAGUAGAGACCAGCAAGGGGGAUUAAUUAUAUUAAAUCUAUGCAGCCUAUCAUUUCUUAGUCUAUUUAUUUUAAUAUAGUGUUCCGUGUGUGGUUAAAAAAAAAAUCCUUGUUUUCAGUUUGAAAGCAACGGGACAUGAAAGAAACAACAAGCACUUAAGACUCUGACAAGACCUUUAGCUUCUCCUCUUUCACUAGCAGGCAUCAGCCAGCGAUCAUUAUUAACAUCUACCAUCAGUUCCAUGUUUGGCUAGAAACCACAGAGGAGGGCUCUGUUAAAUGAAAUUCAAAAUUUGUAAAAUCCUCCUGAGUCGUCUGUAGGGAGCUAAGUGUGGAAGCUGAUGGACCAGCUAGAGAGUGAUUACAAUAAACCAGACCAGGGACGACGGUGGCUUGGCCCGGGGUCAGCCACGGUGGAGUCUGGUCCACAAGGGACCUAGAGAUACUCAAAUCAACCCAAGGUAAAGUACUAAGAGUGGAAAUCCAAGCUAAAUACUUUCAAAGUGAAAAAAGAAUCUAGUCAGUUGAGUUACUGUCUGUCAUUAAUUAUUUGUAUAAAAGGCAAUAAUUGCUAAGGUAAUUCAUUGUCUAUUUGGAGAUAAUGUACCAAAAGGGAGAUGCUUAACAGAUGGCCAUGUUAAGAAAUUCCUGGCUUUUGAAUCUGUUUGGAUAUAUUAGGAAUGAACAAACACCAUACAAGUUCUGCACAUGGUGACGUGUCAGAUGACACUCAGCUGUCACUUAGAAGAACAAUGCCGUCUAUAGAACAAGGUGUGUGCAGAUAGCAAUCUCUUCUGAUUUCCUAGGAAUCCAGAUAUUCUUCAACUGGUCAUAACUUUACAACAUGUAGACUAUUGAUAAUAAGUUUUGGGGGGACAUUUUUCUGUCAAAAAUCCUACAUUUUUCAUGGUGCCACUGUGCAUAAAUCUAGAAUCUUUAGCUCGUUAUUUGUGUCUGUAUGUCCACCAGCAUGAAAAUGAAAGUCUUAAUACCCUGAACUCUCUCACCACAGACAUUAUGAUGAAUUAUGUCUGCAGAAUAUUGUGAUAUCUUACUUGUUUAAUGAUCUACACAAGGUUCUGGUUGGCCCAUCAUAAUUAGUGUGGAUAAAGGUAUCCAGUAGAAAAAAUGAGAGAGGGAUUAAAAUCUUACAUAAAAGCUAACCAUCCACAGUUACAUUUGUAACCAGAGAACAAUAACUAUGUACAUAUAAAAGUCCAGAAGGUAAUCGUCAUUUUUCCUGCCCGUGUACAGAGAGCACGUCUGGAAAUCAUUGUCUUAAAGGCAUGGACUGCUAAUCAACUAUCUCCAGUAGUGUGGAAUCCAGUGCAGUGUUAAAAAGACUAUAAAGGAUGUCUUGGAGACCAAGCUGCUUGGUGUAACACACGAAGGCCUUCUUCUCAUUGGGAGGGACAGAAAUCCACUUCAAACUUCUUGAUAAUACAUCAAAAUGGCUCUUACUUCAUCUAAUUCUGUCACAAACUUAGCCAUCACAGAUUCUUUUUCAAUUAUCUGCAAAAGAUAAAUCCUUAUAUGGUACUGUGUCUGACGUGGGACUAAAUUUCUCUAAGUUAGUUUGAGAAAUCUCUAAGCAAAACCAUUAUGUAGUCAUGAUCAAACCUCAUCAAUCACAAAAAAUCAUUAAGCUGAACUUGAAGACCCUUAGGAUAACCUGAAAUAGAUGGUUCCAGAAAAUAAUAGUGAUAGACAUGGAAUUACAAUAACAAUAUUACUAAUUAAACGACAAUAAUUGUUAUUAUUAUAAAAGACCACCAACAAGAUUUUCAUUUCUCAGUACGUCAUUUCAUGCUCAAUAUUAAAAUUCAGUCUUGUUCUAUUACUAAGAUAAUGUUCCAUUAAUGAGAUAAUAUUCUAUUUUCUCAAUCAAGAUGAAAUGAGGAUUUAUAAGGCAAACUAAAUGAAUUUCAGAUGUUUCUCUUUUUACAUCUCAUCUUGGCUCAUUUAUAUCGUAGACACACACAUUUGCGAAGAACCCUGAGGCUCUUAGCAGCUUUCCUCCUAGGCACAUUGACAUUUCACGGGACCCUGGAGAGAUUACACAGUGAGGAAGACAAUCAUUCUCGUCCGGCCUGGGCACCUGCUGCAGUACGGUCACCUGGUCUGGCUCCAUCGAAGCAGAAGGAAAGGAAGAUUUCACUCUGAGAGGGAAUAUAAGAGUCUGGGUGUCGUACCCACAUGUUUAUGUGAAAUGAGAUUGGUGAGAGGCUCAGAAUCCCAGCUCCGGCCAGUGCAACAAGCAAAGAAAGCAGGGGUCAGCGGGCUGCCAGCUCCCUCCAGGAGGGGACUCCCCUGUGAGUUCAGAGGUCACACUCCCAUGACCAGAGGGAGGGGGCUGAGGGAACACAGGGCUGGGAGAUUGGUGCACAUGCUCUGCCCUUAUUUUCUGAAUGGCUGCUUCCCAUCCGCCCUUCGUGACCAUAGUACCUUAGUCUACAAUUGGAAAAAUGAAUUGAAACUGCUCCUUGUAGACACUCUAUCUCCAGCCCUAAGUACCUUUUUACCCUUUGACUAAGUUUUGAGUUAGUGUUCCUUUUCAGUGCUAGCUUUGAAUUUGUGUUGACCCUGUUUUAGCUUAGCCUCCAGGCAUCGAUGAAGACCAGCUUCUCUUGCUGCUGUGAUGCUGCUCCACCUGCCCAGCUGUAUUGAGGGACUGUUAUUUCCAAGCAGUGAUGUACAAUCGUCAGAGCAAUAAAUAAUAUAUACUGGAUUACAAAAUAACCAGCCAUAAGAUAUAUAACAUUUUACUAAAGUAUAUAAUAAUGUAGUGUUCUAUGAAUUAUCUUUUUUUUUGAAGAUUUUAUUUUUUCCCCUUUUUCUCCCCAAAGCCCCCCGGUACAUAGUUGUAUAUUCUUUGUUGUGGGUCCUUCUAGUUGUGGCAUGUGGGACGCUGCCUCAGUGUGGCCUGAUGAGCAGUGCCAUGUCCGUGCCCAGGAUUCGAACCAACGAAACACUGGGCCGCCUGAAGCGGAGUGCGCGAACUUAACCACUCGGCCACAGGGCCAGCCCCAUGAAUUAUCUUGAAAAUCUGGUAGAAUGAAAAUUUGAGUCAUUAGCGUGGCUGAUGCAUGACCUGAACGCAUGACUCGGGGAGAUGGUGACUGAAGCUCCAGUAUAAAAAUAUGAAUCCUCCUAGUUUAUCGUUUCACCAUCAGAGUCUUCCCUUGGGGGCCCUUUAGGAGUUUUCAGUAAAAUCCAAAUUCCGUGUGGAGGAGCCACACCGUUAACGUUUGUUCAUUAACCUGGGAUGCUCAGAGGCUAGAUCAUGGGGAUGAGUGGACAGCCGAGCGCACCACUCUGAGAAUGGCAAACAAGGACCUGCUUUUCCCCAGCAUCCCAAAUCUCACACCCUUGAUGCCCCUGUGGAGCCCCAUCAAGUGAGAAGGAGACCAAGGAGGAAUUCAUGCCACAGGCCAGGUGAGAACUUGCCCUGAGAUAACAGCGAACAACGUAUUACAAGCACCAAUGUGAAAGCUUCUUUUAUGAUGUCGGGUCUUUUGGGAAGUUGAGUCUCUCAGGAGGGUUUAAAUCAUGACUUUGCAGCAUGAGGACGUUAACGCAGUCUUGAAACAGCACAACAUGUGCUGGCUCCACGUGUGCUGCCCUCCUGUAGGCUGUUACUCACAUCCAGCCCGCUGUCUGGACAAGGCAGCUACUUUUCUGUGUUCUUGACUCCCCUUAUUAAUUCUGUUACCAAGACAAUUAACUUGGAUGUCAAAAGACAAACGGAGGCAAUAAGAUUCUAAAGGACAAAUCUCCAGAAAGUAUUUUCUGCUUUUACUUAUCUUGAGAACUACCUUUCAUCUUAUGAAGCAGAAGAUAAGGAGCAGUGAGUCCACAUUUUUUAGACAUCCUCCAUAAUUUUGCUCCCCAUCCCUGCAAAUCUCAUCCGCCAAUGAAAGAUGGCUAAAAAUAGAAUUAAAUGUUCUACAAGCAUGAGUGUUCAAAUCCAUCCUUUCUCCAGAUAUCCAAUCACCAAAGAAAGAAGAUAAUGAUGCUUUUUCUUCAACUUUUAAACCCCCAUUUACCCACCGAGCAUGGUGUAGACAAUCAUUGCAGGUGUCACUUUCAUAAAGUGGUCGAGCACGUUGGCCAAUAAACACACAAUUCACCCAGAGCAGUGACAGCUCUUGGGUCGUCUCUUCAUACUUAAGGAAAGAGCUUAAAAUUUAAAACAAACAUAGAAGUAAUUGUUGUAAAAUCUGUC
rnacentral:lncRNA from 1 species